rnacentral:sRNA from 1 species
GCGCACCAGCCAGGGGCGCCAGGGAUCGCCUCCCGAGAGGUGCACGGGCCGUGGCCCAGAGUCGCUUACCCACUGCCCUGCCCACCAGCCAGCCCCAGCCCGACCUCACCGACCACCUCCGUGCGCAGGCGACUGCCCUCGACACGCCGCGCCGCCCUACCUCGCUCACCCUGCCCCGCGCUGACCCCAGCCCCAGCGAGGAGUCCGACCAGACGAUGAUCGACCAGACCGCGAUCGGGAGCUACUACCAGCUGUUCGCGGCGGCUGUGGGCAACGUGGAAUGGCUGCGAUUCUGUCUGAACCAGAGCCUCAGGGAAAUCCCCACCGACGACAAGGUUCUUGAAGGAUGCCAUGUGGAAAAAGGACAAGAAGGACUUUGCCCGUGAGAUGAGGAAAAUGAAGAUGCUCAAGAGCCAGCUGACCCUCAUGGAGCACAACUACCUGAUUGAGUAUC